rnacentral:rRNA from 1 species
AACGUAGGACGCGAGCGUUAUCCGGAGUUACUGGGCGUAAAGGGUGGGCAGGCGGCCGUGUCAGAUGGGUGUGAAAUCUCCCGGGUCAACCGGGAGGGGCCACUCGUGACUGCACGGCUGGAGGGCAGCAGAGGCGCGUGGAAUUCCGGGUGGAGUGGUGAAAUGCGUAGAGAUCCGGAGGAACACCAGAGGCGAAGGCGGCGCGCUGGGCUGCACCUGACGCUGAACCACGAAAGCCAGGGUAGCGAACGGG